AAAAUAAUCCUACCCUUUGUGAAUUUUGUUUGUUUGAAUAAUUUUUUUUUUUAAAAAAUUAUUGGAGUCUUUCCCUUUAGAGUUUGCUUUUGAGUUUGUAAAAGAAUUCGAAAACAUCUAAAGGGGAUGGUCAAUAAUUUUUUUUGAAAAAAGACAUUUUUUAAAAUUAAACUUUUUGUAUUCAUUUGUCUAAAAAUUAUUUUUAUAAUAUAAAAACAACUUUUGACAAUGGAUCUCUUGGUUCUCGCAACGAUGAAGAACGCAGCAAAAUGCGAUAAGUAGUGUGAAUUGCAGAAUACGUGAAUCAUCGAAUCUUUGAACGCAUAUUGCACUUUUUUAGUUUACUAAAAAAGUAUGUCUGUUUGAGUAUCAGUAAAAUAUUCUCAUAAAAAUCAUUGUAUUUUUAUGGUUAUGAGUGUUUUACAACGAUACAAGUUGUUUCACUUUAAAUUUUUUUUUAAUAUUGAAAUUUUUCUAAUUUUAAUAAUUAAAAUUGGAUAAAAUUUUCCCGUCAAAAGGAAUAACCUAAACAAUUUUAAACGAUUAAUUUUAGCAAAAUUUUCGUAAAAAAGGAAAAUUUUCAUUAAAAUAACUUGAUCUCAAAUCAGAUAAGAGUACCCGCUGAACUUAAGCAUAUCAAUAAGCGGAGGAAAAGAAACUAACAAGGAUUCCCUUAGUAACGGCGAGUGAAGCGGGAAGAGCUCAAAUUUGAAAUCUUCAAGGUUUUACCUUGACGAAUUGUAGUUUAAAGAAGUGUUUUCUGCUGAAGUUUUGGUAAAAGUUCUUUGGAAUAGGACAUCAUAGAGGGUGAGAAUCCCGUAUUUGACCAUUAUUUUCAGCUUUGUGAUACACUUUCAAAGAGUCGGAUUGUUUGGGAAUGUAGUCCAAAAUGGGUGGUAAAUUUCAUCUAAAGCUAAAUAUUGGCGAGAGACCGAUAGCGAACAAGUACCGUGAGGGAAAGAUGAAAAGAACUUUGAAAAGAGAGUUAAACAGUACGUGAAAUUGUCAAAAGGGAAGCGUUGACACCAGUGUUGUUUUCUCGAAAAUCAAUUAAAAAUGGCUCGAUUUUGUAUUGCUGAGACCUUAAAAGCUCACCGUACAUUUUUCGUGUCUUUUUUAAUGCACUUUUCGUUUAACAAGUCAACAUCAGUUUCUUUUGUUGUAAAAGGGUCAUUGGAAGGUGGCUUUCUUUUCGGAGAAAGUGUUUAUAGCCUUUGGCCUCUGCAAUCGGAGAGACUGAGGUCUGCAGCGUAGACUCUUCGGGUUAGAUACAUUUGUGCUAAGUUAUAGCUUUUUAUAGACAACUUGUUGACUAUAAUUAGUCUUGUAGCUUACUCGCUUAUGCUAUUU
rnacentral:misc_RNA from 1 species